rnacentral:tRNA from 1 species
UCCGGGAUAGUGUAACGGCAGCACCCAGGUCUUUGGAUCCUGUUGUGAAGGUUCGAAUCCUUCUCCCGGAG